rnacentral:lncRNA from 1 species
GUUGAAUAAAAUGUACAUGGUUGGAUCCAAACUGUCUAAAUACUCACAGCUUUAAAGAGAAAUCAGCAUGUAUCUGGCACACCAAUGAAUACUGUGUUCUUCAGAGCUCAUGCUGAACUGUGUACAUUGAAGGGUCUCCCUAAAGGAAACUUUGAGACCCUUCUGUAGGCUGACCCUUCUUAGAUGGAGCUCGGCCUUCAUUUUGGAAUGCUCCGCCAUCUGAGUGCUUUAAAAAUUAAGGUGGCUUUGAGGAUCCUCUCACUUCACAGUGUGGGGAGCCAUGGCAAGCCUAGGCUUGACUCCCUUCCUGGAUGGAACUCGUACCUCAGAACUGUUGCCUCUGUGUUGUUCCAGUCAUGAUCCCCAAAGCAUGAUUCCUGAUUUGGAGGCCAAGAAAGUACAGCCUGUCUUAGCAUGUGAUCUUAUGUAAGGCACUGUGUGUCGAGCUGGCAGGAAACAAACAUCUCUCCAGCCCCCUGUUUUCAGAGACGGGUCGGAAAAUAUUUCAGCUGCUUGGUAUCAGCCUGCUGUGGUCAGUUAUCAGUGUGGUCCAGAAGGACAGGACAGCGCACCAUUCAUGGUCUGUCAGAGCUGCUCCUAGAUGGGCGGAUGGCGUCAUGACCAAAUCUCGCCUGCAUGUUUUUCAUUUCCAGUUAAGCAUGCAUGUUGGUCCUCUGGGAGUAACCCCACUCUUCAGAUCCGUGCCUUGCACCUGGAAGAGGAGGUACCUGAGGCCAAUAAGAAGUAGAAACACAAAAAGGGCUGGUGGUGUUGAUUGCCAAAAGACAUACCAGGACUAUGGCAGCCAGUCAGUGCCUUGAAAGGAGACAAAAGAGUCAGCUCGUGGAGUGAAGCCCAGAGCAGAAAUGGUUCCCAGUCGAGGACACUGGGUCCUUCUUCUUCAGUGGCCUUCAUCACUGGGGCUACAGCCCAGGGGUCAGGAGCCAGCCAGCCUGUCCACACGUACUUCUUGUGCACCUGCUCCUAGGCCCUGUCCAAGAAUGAGUCCAGACUUGGAGACUCAGUGAGAGGCUCCUCUAAUCCCUUCAAAGCAACCCUCUGCCAGCUGUUAAAGCAUGCCGAGUUGUGUUGUGCAAACCAAGCUCCCUUAAACCACUCUCCAGCCAUGUUGGCACCCAACUACUCAGCAGUGCAUAAACAAGCAAGGAUAAGGCCCCACCCCAAGCAGUUUUCUAGCCCACAAAUCUCUGGCAAGACUAGGGAAGCAGCCUUUCCCAAGAGGACACUGCUUACUGUAGAAAAAGUCACAUUUCUCUAGACUGGCUUCCAGUCAAUAGCCAGGGCUGGGAAUCAAGAGAUGUGAGCUCUGUCCCAUCUCUGCCCUAUCUCUGUGCCACUGUGUAGCCCUGGGCAGAUCAACUUCCAUUCAUUCUGUCAAGAAUCUAUCUAUAUGCUGAAAGGUGCUGUCCAUCUCCAGAGAAAGAACUGGGGGAGCCUGAAUGCAGAUUUUUCUUUACUUUCUUUAUUUUGGGGUUAGUUUUUUUGUCAGUGUUUUCUUUCACAGCGUGAUUUACAUGGAAAUGUGUUUUGCGUGACCACACAAGUAUAACCUAUGUCAAACUGCUUGCCUUCUCGGUGGGGGCAGGGGAGGGGAUGUUGGAAAGGAAAGAAUUUGGAACUCAAAAUUUGAAAAAAAAAAAGUUAAAAUUGUUUUUACAUGUAAUUAGGGGGAAAAUAAAAUAUUAAACAAAAAAAAGAAUUUAUCUACA